GGUGUGACUUUUUUUCCCUUUUUUUUGCCUGGUGCUUUCUCUCCCAUUUUGAUUUCAUCCUUUCCAAACCAGUUUUUCAAAACCCUUAAAAGAUCCUACCUCAACCCUCUGUCGAUCCCUCCCACGCAUCCACCCUUUUUCCACCGCUGCCGCCUUGAAUACCUCAACCCUCCGCCGAUCCCUCCCACGCAUCCACCCUCUUUCCACCGCCGCCGCCUUGAAUAGGUGGAUGCCGGAAAAGGAUCCAUCUUCUUAUAUUUCGGAACAGUGACAUUCCUUGGCUGAGACUACUCAUCCUGUAAUCUUGAGUAGUUUGAUCAAAUAAUUCAUGUGUUUAUAGUCGUCUUUCAAGAAAGUAUAAGAGACAGAAAGAUGGAGCCGGUGAUAGAAAAGUGAACUCCGGGGAAGUUGCGUUGAUUGUAUUGGCGUGUCAACCCUAUGAAUCGGAAGCUUAGAGCACUCUGAGGCUCAGGAUCAUGAUCGUUUGUCUAAUUACGAAAUAGUGGUGGUUCAAUUGAAACCUUAUACAGUCGACAACUAGGGUUCAUGACUUGAAGGUGAUGACAGAGACGUUGAGGGGUAGGUUUCAGGCGAUCGAUGAUGUCAAACGAUGGUCGUAUGGAACAUAUGGUCGGUCGGCUCCGCUGAAAAUAGGGGAAUGCAUUUUGGUCACCUUAUAGUUCAGAGAGUCAAAGGUUGACUAUAUAUUAGGAAAUGGCUCAAUGAAGAUGUCUUAUAUGGUAGGAUAUGGGCACAAACUACCCAAUAAGAGUUCAUCAUAGAGUAACUCACCUGCAAUCAUUUGGAUGUGUAGGAUAUGGCACAAACUACAUGCAAAUGAAAAGAUUUCGUUGGAAAGGAUGGUGAUGAGCCGCCUUGGUUCAUAUUGUUGGCUGGAGAAAGGUUUGCAUGGCCAAAGUUAACUUAACUGGAUGCUAUAGAAAUAGUGAGUCACCUCUUUGUAGAGUAAUUUGUAAGGUUUAAGGUUUGGCCUUUUGUUUGCUUCAACACUGAAUCGUUUGUGUUUGUAUAUAUAUGUUUUAUUUUCGGUUAGAUUUUUUGGUUGUUUGAUAGGCGCCGCAACGCGGCGCGGUCUAAAACCUAUUUUUUUUAAUUAUUGCAAAUCAAUGUAGCCAGUACACAUAAGGUAUAAUGUUGUCAAUUCUGCCUCAUUUGAUCUGCAUUAUUGUUUUUUUUUUUUUUUUUUUUUUUUUGACUCGUUAUGAAUGAUAUAUGGUUUUUUUUUUU
rnacentral:lncRNA from 1 species